rnacentral:tRNA from 1 species
GUACCCAUAGCUCAACUGGACAGAGCAUCUGACUACGAAUCAGAAGGUUGCAGGUUCGACUCCUGCUGGGUACGCCA